rnacentral:piRNA from 1 species
AAACNGGUGUUUCAAAUGUGACCUUGUGAAG